rnacentral:rRNA from 1 species
UUGGACCUGAUAUCAGGCAAGAUUACCCGCUGAACUUAACAUUC